UACGUAGGGUGCGAGCGUUAAUCGGAAUUACUGGGCGUAAAGCGUGCGCAGGCGGUUUUGUAAGUCUGUCGUGAAAGCCCCGGGCUCAACCUGGGAAUUGCGAUGGAGACUGCAAGGGCUUGAAUCUGGCAGAGGGGGGUAGAAUUCCACGUGUAGCAGUGAAAUGCGUAGAGAUGUGGAGGAACACCGAUGGCGAAGGCAGCCCCCUGGGUCAAGAUUGACGCUCAUGCACGAAAGCGUGGGGAGCAAACAGG
rnacentral:rRNA from 1 species